CUUUAAUAACUCCAGCCUACACAGAAAGUAGAUAACUAGAUGCUGCAGGCCUGGAAGUGUUGUUUUUCCCCCCAUCGUGAUCUGGCUGAUAUUCAUGUGACAGAGAGAAAAGGGGAAGAUACUUGGCUUCAACUCUGCAGAUGGUAAAAUCAGAGGGAAGGAAAAGGAAACAAAUCAGACCGAAAAAAAAACAAGGUAAAUUUAAAAUAUGGAAACCAGCUCUGAAAAAAAUAAUCAAAUAAGGCUAAAUAGAGAAUCUAAUAAAUAUAUGCAUUUUUAUAGAACUGAAUUCUGUGUGUGUUGUCAUACCGAUCCUGUAUUUUAGUAUUAGUGUAAACUGUCAAUACAAAUCCAUGAAUUCAUAACUAACGACACUAGUCACACUUUGUUUAACAUCAACAGCUAAUUCAUUUCUAAAAUUUUAUUUAUAACAACUACAUCGUAUGCCAUCAUGCAUUGACUCGUCUAAAAAGUAUGUACAUUUUCUGCUUUUUUCUCUCUGUUAACACUCUCUCAGCACACAAACCACAGGUCUGAAGACUCCCUGCAGUGAAACAGCACCCUAACCUGGAGAUUCAUCUCCCUGAGUUUUUCCAAGAUUUACACUUAUUAAUUUUUAAUGACCUAAACAUUACCCUUUACAGUGGUCUGGACUUUGUAAGAUAAAAAAAUGUGCAAAUGUGUUCUUGAAUAUGAUUGCAUUUGUGUAUAUGUUGAUGUUUUAAUCCAUAGUUACAGUCAUUGUCAUUGUUCUUUUAAAGUGAGCCAACUAUUUUUCUCCUCUUGGUGUCAGUGGGAUGAAUGUACACGUAUGCUUUUAUCUCUGAGUGAGUGCAGCGUCCCCAUGCAGCACAGCACACAACAGCAGAUAAAACAUGUUUUAAAAAUAUGAAUAUGUAUUAAUCCCACUAAAGUGUCUUAUAAUAGCAAAAGUCUUAUAAUGCCUGUGAAAAAAAACAUGCUCUAUGAGACAUGAUACACAAUAAUGAGUGUUUUAAUGCAAUCUGCCCUGUGUAGAUGUGAAGUGUUGAGUAGCAUUGUUGUCCACAUGCAAGAUAUAUAAAUUCCUGUCUCUGUCACACAGAAAGUUGGACUAGAUGUUUGUUUUGAAUUUGAAUAUUUUAAGCUCUGGAG
ensembl:lncRNA